GUCCACGCCGUAAACGAUGCUAACUCGUUUUUGGGGCUUUAAGCUUCAGAGACUAAGCGAAAGUGAUAAGUUAGCCACCUGGGGGAGUACGUUCGCAAGAAUGAAACUCAAAAGGAAUUGACGGGGGCCCGCACAAGCGGUGGAUUAUGUGGUUUAAUUCGAUGAUACGCGAGGAACCUUACCAAGACUUAAAUGGGAAAUGACAGAUUUGGAAACAGAUCCUUCUUCGGACAUUUUCAAGGUGCUGCAUGGUUGUCGU
rnacentral:rRNA from 1 species